GCUCAGCAACUCAAAGGAAUUGACGGGGGCCCGCACAAGCGGAGGAACAUGUGGUUUAAUUCGAUGAUACGCGAGGAACCUUACCCGGGCUUGAAAUGCAUCUGACCGGCCUUGAAAGAGGCACUCCCUUCGGGGCAGAUGUGUAGGUGCUGCAUGGUUGUCGUCAGCUCGUGCCGUGAGGUGUCGGCUUAAGUGCCAUAACGAGCGCAACCCUCAUCAUUAGUUACCAUCAGGUAAGGCUGGGGACUCUAAUGAGACUGCCAUCGUAAGAUGUGAGGAAGGUGGGGAUGACGUCAAAUCAGCACGGCCCUUACGUCCGGGGCGACACACGUGUUACAAUGGGUGGUACAAAGGGCAGCUACCUGGCGACAGGAUGCUAAUCUCGAAAACCGCUCUCAGUUCGGAUCGGAGUCUGCAACUCGACUCCGUGAAGCUGGAUUCGCUAGUAAUCGCGCAUCAGCCACGGCGCGGUGAAUACGUUCCCGGGCCUU
rnacentral:rRNA from 1 species